AUUCAUCUGAUUAGUCUCAAAUAGGACGAAAUGAACAUCUUGGAU
rnacentral:hammerhead_ribozyme from 1 species